CUACUUUCCCAAUUACUGCACCUUAAUGAAGAGACCUUACCAUUUGAUUACGGGACUCCCAGGAAUCGUAGCAUAAAAUCAGCAAGACAGCAGAUAUUCACAGGACGGAAGCAUUCGCUGGAUAUAUGUUUUUCAGACAACAAUCUGAAAAUGACAACACACUUAAGACCAGCGGCUUAAGGGCAAAUAAAUUGUCCAAGGGAUAGGUUUAAAAAGCAGACAAUUGUUUGAGGAAAUGGUGGACAUAAAAGUACUCAUGCGAUCAGCAUCUGAGUGAUGAUUUGUGAAAUAUUCUAGUGAUAAAAUUGAAGAAGAGGCUGAUAGAAGAUUGUCUAUGGAGGAUGCUUGCCACCAUUUUAGGAAGACAAACUCCAAGAAAGUUCAGCACGCUGCACUUCAAAAAUACUUUCAGAAAGAAACCAAAUGUAAGGUUUAAAUAUGGUUUUCAACCCAAUGUUGCAUCUUAAAGUACGGAAAAUGGUUUUUUAAAAUUCCAAUAAAAACAAAUUUGAAAAUAA